GUUUCCGUAGUGUAGUGGUCAUCACGUUUGCCUCACACGCAAAAGGUCCCCAGUUCGAAACUGGGCGGAAACA
rnacentral:tRNA from 1 species